rnacentral:rRNA from 1 species
ACUCCUACGGGAGGCAGCAGUGGGAAUAUUGCAACAAUGGGCGCAAGCCUGAUGCAGCCAUGCCGCGUGUGUGAAGAAGGCCUUCGGGUUGUAAAGCACUUUCAGUUGUGAGGAAAGGUUAGUCGCUAAUAUCGGCUAGCUGUGACGUUAGCAACAGAAGAAGCACCGGCUAACUCCGUGCCAGCAGCCGCGGUAAUACGGAGGGUGCGAGCGUUAAUCGGAAUUACUGGGCGUAAAGCGCGUGUAGGUGGCUUGUUAAGCCAGAUGUGAAAGCCCCGGGCUCAAGCCUGGGAACUGGC